AUCCUUACAUCAUAAGCAAUGCCACCACCCCUCCAAAACGAGAGGAAAAAAAAAAAAUCCCAGUAGGCACAGAUACGUUAUGGGAACUUCGUAGGAAAGCACAAAGAGGCAGUAGAGAUUACAACCACCACCUUAUCGGCUGCCGGAGAGUUUGUGUGCGUGUUUCUUUUAAGUGUUUCUCGCCCAGCUCCUCCUUCCCCCGCUACAAACAGCAAACACCUGAGUGAGCUAAUCAGCUCUUAAACUGAAAAACCUUUCGAUGCAGGCGAGUGAUAGAUAAAACCUGAGGGGCAGCAGGAGGGUCAAAUAAAAGUUGCUUUGCAGUUCGCUCCUCCAAGCGCCGCAGCGACCGCCGGGAAGUGAGAUUCCCAAAGCCACUUUCACACCUUCGCUAAUGCACUAGCAAAGAGAAGCCCGGAGAGGCUGAAGUUUCCACGGAGGGCACCGUCGGGGAGACGCAACCCGGGAGGACGGAAGGGUUGGGCCCGCUACCUCUGCACACGGGCGAGCCGGGGCUCCGUCUCUCAGUGUAAAAUACAGACAGGAAGGGAUACACCGUAGUGGACACCUGGCUAAAUUUUACCCAACAAAACACUGUGAGCAACCAGUACUCAGAUCAAGAAAGAGAAAUGACCCUCCAGGUGCUCUCUUUCAGUCACAACCUGCUCUCCACCCCCUCCAUCACCAUCCUGACUUCCAAGAGCACAGAUUGGUUCACCUAUUUUUGUAUUUUAAAUGAAGAGUACAGAAUGUUCUCCAGCUUCAUCAGCCAAAUCAUCUCCUUUCUUAAACAAAAGCAUUCUUAAAAAUCUCACCUUCUCCACUAAAAAGGAGCAAAACUGAAAUUAGGACAAAGAUGUAUGGUAACAAAAGUAUACAAAUGUGAAGUUAUGGAAAAGAUCUUUACAAACUCUGACAAGAAUACCUCAGGUUAUUUCAUCUUGCCAAUAUUUUGAGCUAUCAACAACCCAUGCUAAUCUGACUGUCAAAUAUAAAGGGCAGUGAACUAAAUAAACAUAUUCUUCAAUCCUGGAGACCAAAAACAAAUGCAAAUUUCAGUUAUACAGAUACAAAUACAAACUUCCAGUUAUAAAGGAUUUGGGGAAGAAGCUGCUCCUCUACUGAGAGUCUAGUGGACAGAUGAGGACCUCACUGGAGUACGAGGAACCAGAUCUGGAAGAUAUCUGUGAGGUAGAAUCAACAGAACCUGACGAUAGACUUGAUAAAGUGAGGUGAAAAGAAGUGUCCAUUCCCAGCACUGGGAGAAACGCAGCACUUGGGAAGUCAGCCCCGCACUGCCGUCGCCUGACUUGGGGCGGAUCACCCGUUUUCCUGGAACCCUGGCACCUUCUGCACAGCAAGAGUGGAAGUUACUCUUCACCCUCAGGGGAAUGUGUAGUCACAGUUACUUGUUCAGUUUUACCCCAAAAGGACUCACUGAGUUUCACUUACCAGGCAUUUUUCUUUGUCCUUGUGUUUGUUUUUUCACACUAUAUACUCAGCCCCUUGCACAAUGCAUUGAAUACAGUCAGUACUUAGUAUUUGUUGCAUGCAUUAUGAAAAAACAAAUGCACUUACCUCCAAA